GGUAUUAUACUUUAUUUAGAAGAUAUGAUUUGCACUCAUAAAGAAAGAUAAUCUCUUUUAUACCA
rnacentral:tRNA from 1 species